rnacentral:rRNA from 1 species
UUUCGGGUUUUAUUUGCGCAGCAUAGGUGGGAGGCUUUGAUGUUAAUCUUACGGGAUUAACGGAGCCAUCAGUGAGAUACCACUCUAAUAAAACUAGAACUCUAACCCUAUACCGUUAGCCGGUUAGGGGACAGUUUCAGGCGGGCAGUUUGACUGGGGCGGUCGCCUCCUAAAAGGUAACGGAGGCGUACAAAGGUUUCCUCAGAUCGGUCAGAAAUCGAUCGUAGAGUGCAAAGGCAAAAGGAAGCUUGACUGUGAGACCUACAAGUCGAACAGAGACGAAAGUCGGUCUUAGUGAUCUGGCGAUAUUGAGUGGAAAAGUCGUCACUCAACGGAUAAAAGUUACUCUAGGGAUAACA